UGAGGAAUAACAAGAUUUCUAAUGGCAGAAGUCCAGUACUUACCAAUAGGAGAAGAAACAUUUGGCUGAUUUGAAUGUAUGGUGUACUUCAAAAGAAAAUACUGAGGACUUCAGACUUGCUUGUGUUCUCAUACAUUAGUUGCGCAGAGCAGAUACAAACAUACAAACAUUUGGAAGUAAAGCAUUCUGACUGCACAGGAUAGCUUCAGUGGAUGUCUUGGCCACUUUCCUCUCUCCUUGUAGUGACAUCAAGGAAAUAGCACUGAUCUUGCAGAGUCUAUUUUUUCUGAAGAGUCUGUGGUCUGGAACAGAAUUGUGCACUCAAGUGAGAGCUAAUAGCACAGAUGUCCCCUUCUGGUAGUGGUGAGGGACUCCGAAAAGUCAGGGUGGAAACAGUGCAGAAGAGAUAGCAGUGUUAGCAUCUUGAUUGUGAGUACUUCUGGGAAAUACUAAGAUCCGAGGCAUCAGAUAGACUACUGCUACAGGAGGCAAGUGAAGCAAACUUUAUCCAAGGAGUGUAAUACUUGACACCUUUUUGGUGAACUUUAAUAAUCAUUCAAGCUUCCUUCUGCGGAUGAGACUGGACAACAGCUAGAGUUAAGAACUGAAUCUAUACCUGAUUAAAGCAGCUACUUCCUAACUGAAGAUAAAUGAAGAGGAAAGGAAGAGUAACACAUACAAGCCCUCAAACUUUUCAAUUCCAGUAAAAGAAGUAUUUAUCUGCAACAGCCGCAGUGAUCUUCAGGCUUCUGGGGAGUAAGCUUGAACCUUCAACAAUGUUUUCAAUUGUCAAAUAAUUGUCAAAUGUCCUCAUGAAGAGCUGGGAUACCAACGGAAAUGGGACUUUGAUUGUAAGGGGAUUUUUAAAUGCCGAUGUAAGAAAGAAUUUAAAAUUGAACCAACAAUAUGACAGAGACAUGGUGACAGAAAUCCUGUGCUGAAUAAAAUAAAAUACAAAUUAUAAGUUGCCAAAGCAUAAUAGAACUGUUCCUCUAUUUCAAAAAAUUUAUGGGUAGAUGUUCUUAAGCUGAUCAACUUGAAAUACAGGAGUUGAAAGUAUGAGAAGUUUUCAGUGUUUUUCUUGGUUGCAAUUAAAAAAGGUGAUAAAUUUAAUGACAAUGAGCAGAUUUCUCAAUAACUUUUUUUGGUUUUUCAGUGUUGAAAUAAAACGUCAUGAGGAUAAGAUUAGGCUACUUGCUGAGUUUCUGGCAGAUGCCAAGAAUGCAAGGUUACGGUACUGAGUUCUUGCAGGUUUUUCAUCGAGGAAUUUUUUCUGAAGCUCUUCUGAAGGUAGAUCUGGAUAGAAUGUGCUGUGGCACUUGCUUCUGGACACAUCACUGCACCUCCUGGUACAUGAUGUCAGUGCAAUCUGAGAGAAGGUCUUAGCCUUAGGCUAAGAGGAGAGCUUUCAUGAGACUGGUGCAGGCUCUACUUGAUAUAAAAUGAUUAAUUGUGGCUAAUAUAGCUCUGACAUCACAACCCAAGCCUGAUCUGACAAUUCCAGUUUUCCAUUAGUUAUGGCUUAAAUUCUGGUCUACAGAGCACAUUCGAGUCUUAUGCUCUGAACUCCCUUUUCAUAGCACAUUACACACUGAGCUGAAGCAGUCAGCAGGUCUUUGUCCCAGACAGCAGUGCCAGGAUAAACACUAACACACCUUUGAUGAAUAGUAAGGAAGCUUUCCCGACUUUGCUCUGAAAAGAAGUUAUUAUGAACAAGGAGCACUCAGGUCAGUUUUAUAGGUCUCCGCUGGGAGUCCCUACUAAGUAACUGACUGCUAACUAACACCUGAACUGAGGGGAAUUUCACACGAAUUCACAUUGCUGUUGUACUGCAAGUUCAUAAUGUGCAGUAGUACAGAAAUGAAAAGCUUAACUAUUUCAAGAGUGAAACAGCCUUUGUGUUUUGCAAUGUAAAGCUGUAAAGAAAAUUCUCAGCUCUCUCUUGUUGGUAAAUGGCUUUUACAGACAUACGCAGGUAAAACGGGUGUAGGAGAUGCAUACCACAGGAAGCAAUGAGAUGCUGUGCUGAGCUGUUUAUUUUUUGAAUGGUAUUCUUUGUCCAUACGUGGCUAAAAGACCUUUACCUGCUCUAAUGCAUUAUGUCCACAAAUUCGUCUCUGUCUACAGAAGUAGUGUAAUUACAUUUUGUAAUGAAAAUGGCUGGUUAUAUACAGACUCUUGUUAUAUAGACUCUGGUUAUAUACAGACUCUUCCCAUUGAUAAAAUACUAUGGACAGAGAAAGUAACAACAAAAAAAGUGUUGCAAGUAUCAAAGAAUACUCGUUGACAUUCUUUUGGAGACCAUGUCUGGCCUUUCUACAAAGGGGACUGCUUGAAUUGUGCAGACCCCAGAGCUCAUCAGAAUACACCAACCUGACAGUACCACAAAACUGAGCCCUGGGUCUCAGUUAUACAUUUACUCAGAAUACUGCAGGACUCUAAAGAAUGUUCACUUUCACGCUCUCUCAAGCACUCUCUCUGAAUGUACUUUCAGUCUGUUUAAUCAAAGUAUUCCAUAAUUGGAAAGCCAGCUCUUCUCUGUAAAAAUGUACAGACUCCUAAUAGGAAAUAUAAUUUCCACAUUAAUUAACCAUGUCACACAUUUUUUUUUUUUUUUUUCCCAUGGGAUAAUUUAUUACUUCUUGUCUAAGAUAACCUAUUAUUUUUUAAAUUAGAGCAUACUGAUGUUGUUUGAAGACUAGUUUUGACUCUGGUUCAAUAAGGAAAUAAUAUUAUUACUAUUCAAUAUGAGGAAAUAAUCUUAUACUUACCUCUAAG
ensembl:lncRNA